GACGAACGCUGGCGGCGUGCCUAAUACAUGCAAGUAGAACGCUGAAGAGAGGAGCUUGCUCUUCUUGGAUGAGUUGCGAACGGGUGAGUAACGCGUAGGUAACCUGCCUGGUAGCGGGGGAUAACUAUUGGAAACGAUAGCUAAUACCGCAUGAUAUUAAUUAUUGCAUGAUAAUUGAUUGAAAGAUGCAAUUGCAUCACUACCAGAUGGACCUGCGUUGUAUUAGCUAGUUGGUGAGGUAACGGCUCACCAAGGCGACGAUACAUAGCCGACCUGAGAGGGUGAUCGGCCACACUGGGACUGAGACACGGCCCAGACUCCUACGGGAGGCAGCAGUAGGGAAUCUUCGGCAAUGGGGGGAACCCUGACCGAGCAACGCCGCGUGAGUGAAGAAGGUUUUCGGAUCGUAAAGCUCUGUUGUAAGAGAAAGAAACGGGUGUGAGAAGGGAAAAGUUCCACACUG
rnacentral:rRNA from 1 species